rnacentral:rRNA from 1 species
AGUGAACGCUGGCGGUAGGCCUAACACAUGCAAGUCGAACGGCAGCACAGGAGAGCUUGCUCUCUGGGUGGCGAGUGGCGGACGGGUGAGGAAUACAUCGGAAUCUACUUUUUCGUGGGGGAUAACGUAGGGAAACUUACGCUAAUACCGCAUACGACCUACGGGUGAAAGCAGGGGAUCUUCGGACCUUGCGCGAUUGAAUGAGCCGAUGUCGGAUUAGCUAGUUGGCGGGGUAAAGGCCCACCAAGGCGACGAUCCGUAGCUGGUCUGAGAGGAUGAUCAGCCACCCUGGAACUGAGACACGGUCCAGACUCCUACUGGAGGCAGCAGUGGGGAAUAGUGGACAAUGGGCGCAAGCCUGAUCCAGCCAUACCGCGUGGGUGAAGAAGGCCUUCGGGUUGUAAAGCCCUUUUGUUGGGGAAGAAAUCCAGCUGGUUAAUACCCGGUUGGGAUGACGGUACCCAAAGAAUAAGCACCGGCUAACUUCGUGCCAGCCGCCGCCGUAA